rnacentral:lncRNA from 12 species
AUGCGCGCCCGAAGUGCAGCCCGGGGCGCGGGCGGCGGGCCGCCCCCCCGCCCUCCCCGCCCUCCCCGCCGGCCCGGGGCUGUCUGGCCGCGGCCCCGGGGCGCCCCGGGACCCCGCGCGGGCGGAGGCGAGCGGGGCGCCGGCCUCCAGCGGCCCCGGGAGCGCCCCGGGGGCGCGCGGCCGGGACCCCGCGGCCCGGAGCGCACAGGCCGCCGAGAGCCCCGAGCGCCAGGGCCCCCGCCCAGAGCCAAGGGUGUGGGGCGUCGCAGCCCGGACGCAGACAGGCUGGCAGCGCGAGUGCGAGCGGAAAAUCAAAUACAGGUUCAACACCCCGGGCCUCCCCGCGGCCGGCGCCGGCCUCCCUACCUUCGCGCCCCCGGGGCUGGGCGCAGCCCGGCAGCCUCGGUGCCUCCGGCGCGGUCCAGUCCCGCCUCGGAAGCGCCGCCGUUACCUGCUCCUCGGCUCCCCACGGCCACAGAUGCAGGGCGGCCGCCGGGGGAGGGAAGCCGCGGCCACCGCAGCCGCCGCUGCCCGCCCUCCUUCCCUCCCUCCCUCCCUCCUUCUCGCCCUCCCUCCCUCUCUCCCUCCCUCGCGCUGCCGCUCGCGGGGCCCUCCCGCGGGCAACCUGUUCUGGACCAAAUCCAGGUAUCUCCGAAAGAGAGAGACACACAGAGACGAGGAGCUCCGGGGCGGAAAAGCAAGGAAGGAAGACCCCCACCCGCGCCCACUUUGCGGGCUCCGACCGCGGGCCGGCUCCGCGCGGACGCCGCAGGGGCGAGGGGUGCGGGGCCUGCUGCCUCCCCGCGCCCCGCGCGCUCCACGCUGGGGCCGCCGCGCCCGGCCGCGCACACGCCAAGCGGACCCCGAGGCCCUUGCUCGCGGCUGCACAUCCGGUUGCCCGCCUCGCCGCCCGCCUGGCCCCGGAGCGCGCCCUGCUCCGCCGCGGCCCAAGUCCACACGCGAUCCUCCCGGUCCGCGCUCCCGCCGGCCGACACCCCCGCGCGCCCCGCGCGCCCCUGCCCGGGCCCCGCACACACAAAGCCGGGGCCCCCCCGCAGCCCCCAGGCCCCAGCCGCCGCUGCCCUUCACCUGUUCCCGGGAAAGGCUGCGUCUCCGAGCCGAGGCAAGGCCGUGGGCCGGGCAGGAGGGAGCCGGGGUCCCGCCGGGGAGGCCGCGGAGGCUCGCCGGGCCGGCCGGAGCCCCCGCCGCCCGCGAGCCGUCUCGGAGCCCGAGGCUCUCCUUGGCGAGCUCUCGCCUGCCUCGUCCUCCGGCUCCCGCAAGUCUUAA